GCACUGAUAGUUCAGUGGUAGAAUUCUCGCCUCCCACACGGGAGACUGGGUUGGGUUCCCAGCCAGUACA
rnacentral:tRNA from 1 species